rnacentral:rRNA from 1 species
GAUGAACGCUGGCGGCGUGCCUAAUACAUGCAAGUCGAGCGAACAGACGAGGAGCUUGCUCCUCUGACGUUAGCGGCGGACGGGUGAGUAACACGUGGAUAACCUACCUAUAAGACUGGGAUAACUUCGGGAAACCGGAGCUAAUACCGGAUAAUAUAUUGAACCGCAUGGUUCAAUAGUGAAAGACGGUUUUGCUGUCACUUAUAGAUGGAUCCGCGCCGCAUUAGCUAGUUGGUAAGGUAAAGGCUUACCAAGGCAACGAUGCGUAGCCGACCUGAGAGGGUGAUCGGCCACACUGGACCUGAGACACGCUCCAGACUCCUACGGGAGGCAGCAGUAGGGAAUCUUCCGCAAUGGGCGAAAGCUUGACGGAGCAACGCCGCGUGAGUGAUGAAGGUCUUCGGAUCGUAAAACUCUGUUAUUAGGGAAGAACAAAUGUGUAAGUAACUAUGCACGUCUUGACGGUACCUAAUCAGAAAGCCACGGCUAACUACGUG